UCAGGAUGAACGCUGGCGGCGUGCCUAACACAUGCAAGUCGAGCGAUUUACUUCGGUAAAGAGCGGCGGACGGGUGAGUAACGCGUGGGUAACCUGCCCUGUACACACGGAUAACAUACCGAAAGGUAUGCUAAUACGAGAUAAUAUACUUUUACCUCAUGGUAGAAGUAUCAAAGCUCUGGCGGUACAGGAUGGACCCGCGUCUGAUUAGCUAGUUGGUAAGGUAACGGCUUACCAAGGCGACGAUCAGUAGCCGACCUGAGAGGGUGAUCGGCCACAUUGGAACUGAGACACGGUCCAAACUCCUACGGGAGGCAGCAGUGGGGAAUAUUGCACAAUGGGCGAAAGCCUGAUGCAGCAACGCCGCGUGAGCGAUGAAGGCCUUCGGGUCGUAAAGCUCUGUCCUCAAGGAAGAUAAUGACGGUACUUGAGGAGGAAGCCCCGGCUAACUACGUG
rnacentral:rRNA from 1 species